rnacentral:lncRNA from 1 species
GGGGGGGUAUCACUAUGCAUAAGAACACAAACUCCCCUUGACAACUUUGAUAUGAAAACACUAAAUUCUUUUAGGACACCUCCUUCAGGGAUACUAAUCUUGACUCCAUUAAGCCCCCGAAGUUAUCCCCUUAUAACUGACAUUUUCAUAGGCAUAGACAUAUGUGCUUUCAAACACUUAACACUCCAUUUUCAACUCUUUAGAAUACUAGCAUCACACUUCUAAGAUCAUAACCUCAUAAC